UUCGUUUUCGUUUUCGUUUUCGUUGGGGAAGUAGAAGAAAAACGUGCUCGUUCCCCCGUUCUUUUCCGCUGCCGAUUACAAGAAAGGAUCCGGUAUUAGGGUUUCCGAUCCCUCCAUUCUCCGCCACCUCUCCUCCCUCUAGCGACCAUCUUCGAUCCGCGGGUAGAGUAGAGGUCUCGGCGCUGAUGUUCUCGCGCCCGGGUUCUUAGAUAUGAGAGCGCCGGAGCAACUGCUCGCUGAGAUGUCCCUCACGGCCGCGUCGUCGGAUCUUCCAUUGGCCACCGUCCAUAUUCCCGCUGCCUCCCCCUCGUGGUUCGUGGGUUGCCAUGGUCCUCCGUACAACCUCGCGUUGAUCGUCCCCUCCGCUUUAUUCGUCGCUUACCUCGGUUGGCUGGCGCGGAAGAGCUUCCUUAAGCUCACGUCCGGGCAGUCUCAUCUGAUGGUUUCCUACUAUGCUCUCCUGUGGCUUGUCAGCCUCCUCAAUCUCUUCUGGUGCCUAGUCCAGGUGUGGCAGUGUACUGCUGCAAAGGAAUCUGCAUGGAAUAUGUUAUCUUUGUUUACAGAAACUGGGAUGUUGUUCAUGGAAAUAAGUUUGUUGGCGUUUCUGCUUCAAGGAAGUCAUGCUGGUGGAUUGGAUGUUUUAACACGUACAUUUGUUGUGUCUGGAGUAAUUGUUGCCGCUGAUACACUACUAAAGACUAUCUACAUAUAUGGCUUUGGGGUUCCUCUAUUUGCAGACAGCAAUAAUAAAGAAAACCGUGCAAGAUGGGGUUUGUGGAUUGUCCACAAGCUGCUGCUCAGUGCAGUCUAUGGCUUCAUUUUCUUCAUGCAUCACUCAAAGUGGAGAGAAAGAUUACCUGCAAGACCAUCAUUCUACAACUAUGUUUGUGCUAUGCUGUUGCUGAAUUCAAUGUCCCUGUUCGGUUGCCUGCUUGCUUCAAAUGGAUCUGGAUUUGGGAUAUGGUUGUUCAAUCUAACAACUGUAUGCUACCACUCUCUUUAUCUUCCACUUCUAUAUGUGGUCUUCCUUGCAGAUUUUUUCCAGGAAGAAGAUAUGCGCUUGGAGAAUGUAUACUACUCUGAAAUGAAGGAUGCCGGUUUCUUUGAUGAUGAUUGGGAUUAAAUACAUCAGACAAAUAGCCUUUGUGGUUGAGCAUUCUUUGUCUCGGUUUGAAUGUGACAAUUGCUAGCUAUUGAAGAAUCUUGUUGCUUUGCUUGGCGAUGCCCAUGGCGGCAUCAGGCUCACCAUUUAGUAGCUGUAUGGUGGUCAAAAUUUCGUAUCCAUAUAGAACUUAGUAGGGGAAGUUACAAUGCAGAGGGUAAACUUGAAUAAUGGAACUUUCUUUUAUCAGUUCAGGCAGUGAUGGAUUCCAACAUUUACAACAUGAAUGAAGCUCAACUGCUCGAACAAACCAUGGAUAGGAGAUACCAUCUGAACAAGCUACGAGUAGUUUUCAUGGAGCUAAGUGGAGCACCAAGGGAAUGGAAGGGAUGGCCAGAAUUGAAGGAAUGGAAGGCAGUGGAACUUUGCGAAUGACUGGGAUAAAGGGGGCAAAAGACGACACUCCUGCUGCUGGCAUUGUUGGAAUAGUCACCACGACAUGUGGAACAGUUUGUACUACUGGCAUUGGUAUCGGUGGCACUGAGACAGCAGGAGCGGCAGUUGGUGUUAUGUCAAGGAGAUGCCUAGCCGCGUGGCAGGGUCUGAGGUUAGCUAUCAGAAGUGCCAUGGUAAA